rnacentral:rRNA from 1 species
UACGUAGGUGGCAAGCGUUGUCCGGAAUUAUUGGGCGUAAAGCGCGCGCAGGCGGUUCCUUGAGUCUGAUGUGAAAGCCCACGGCUCAACCGUGGAGGGUCAUUGGAAACUGGGGGACUUGAGUGCAGAAGAGGAGAGCGGAAUUCCACGUGUAGCGGUGAAAUGCGUAGAGAUGUGGAGGAACACCAGUGGCGAAGGCGGCUCUCUGGUCUGUAACUGACGCUGAGGCGCGAAAGCGUGGGGAGCAAACAGGAUUAGAU